AGCCGCCGCGGUAAUACCAGCAGUUCAAGUUGCAUCCCUUUUUAUUGGGUCUAAAACAUCCGUAGCUUGCCGUUUAAGUCUCUUGUGAAAUCCUACGUCUCAAGCGUAGCGAAGUGCAGGAGAUACUGGGCGGCUAGAGAUCGGUAGACGUAAGCAGUACGCCACGGGUAACGGUCAAAUGUGUUAAUCCGUGGUGGACUAACGAUGAGCGAAGGCAGCUUACGAGGACGAAUCUGACAGUGAGGGAUGAAGGCCAGGGGCGCAAAACGGAUUAGAUACCCGUGUAGUCCUGGCAGUAAACACUGUUCACUAAACAUCGGGCCCUCUUCGGGAGGAUUCGGUGCUGAAGGGAAGCCGAAGAGUGAACUACCUGGGAAGUAUAGUCGCAAGAUCGAAACUUAAAGGAAUUGGCGGGGAGACAUACAACGAGUGACGCGUGCGGUUCAAUUAGAUUUUACACCGUGAACCUCACCAGGAGCGACAGCAGGAUGAAGGUCAGUCUAAAGGGCUUACCUGACACGCUGAGCGGAGAUGCAUGGCCGACGUCAGCCUGUGCUGUGAAGUGACCUGUUAAAUCAGGUAACAGGCGAGACCCGUGUCGAUAAUUACUACAGAAAUGGGUACCUUAUCGAGACUGCCUUGGUAACAAGGAGGAAGGUGCGGGCUACGUUAGGUGAGUACGUCCCUAAUCCCCUGGGCUACACGCGCGCGGCAAUGGUAUGUUCAAAUGGAUGCGACUCCGAAAGGAGAAGCUAAUCCCCUAAAGCAUAUCUCAGUCCAGAUUGAGGGUUGCAACCCACCCUCAUGACGUUGGAAUUCGUAGUAAUCGGAUAUUAGCACUGUCCGGUGAAUAAGUCCCUGUCUCU
rnacentral:rRNA from 1 species